CGGUGAAAUUCCAAUCGAGCCCGGAGAUAGCUGGUUCUCCCCGAAAUAGCUUUAGGGCUAGCCUCAAGGUGAGAGAUACGGAGGUAGAGCACUGAAUGUCCUAGGGGGGAUUGCACCUACCGAAGACUAUCAAACUCCGAAUGCCGUCAUCUUAUACUUGGGAGUCAGACUGUGGGUGAUAAGAUUCAUAGUCGAAAGGGCAACAGCCCAGAUCGUCAGCUAAGGUCCCUAAAUGUAAGUUAAGUGGUAAAGGAUGUGGGAUUGCACAGACAACCAGGAUGUUGGCUUAGAAGCA
rnacentral:rRNA from 1 species